rnacentral:rRNA from 1 species
CCUACGGGAGGCAGCAGUGAGGAAUAUUGGUCAAUGGCCGGAAGGCUGAACCAGCCAAGUCGCGUGAGGGAAUAAGGCCCUAUGGGUCGUAAACCUCUUUUGUCAGGGAGCAAAGGCGUCCACGUGUGGACGAGAGGAGAGUACCUGAAGAAAAAGCAUCGGCUAACUCCGUGCCAGCAGCCGCGGUAAUACGGGGGAUGCAAGCGUUAUCCGGAUUUAUUGGGUUUAAAGGGUGCGUAGGCUGUGAGGUAAGUAAGCGGUGAAAUGCCCCCGCGCAACGGGGUGAAGUGCCAUUGAUACUGCCGUGCUGGAAUGCGGAUGCCGUGGGAGGAAUGUGUGGUGUAGCGGUGAAAUGCAUAGAUAUCACACAGAACACCGAUUGCGAAGGCAUCUCACGAAUCCGCGAUUGACGCUGAUGCACGAAAGCGUGGGUAUCAAACAGGAUUAGAUACCCGUGUAGUC